CCUACGGGAGGCAGCAGGGAGGAAUAAUGGUCAAUGGGCGCGAGCCGGAACCAGCCAAGUAGCGUGAAGGAUGACUGCCCUACGGGUUGUAAACUGCUUUUAUAAAGGAAUAAAGUGAGGCACGUGGGCCUUGUGGUAGGUACUUUAUGAAUAAGGAUAGGCUAACUCCGUGCCAGCAGCCGCGGUAAUACGGAGGAUCCGAGCGUUAUCCGGAUUUAUUGGGUUUAAAGGGAGCGUAGAUGGGUUGUUAAGUCAGUUGUGAAAGUUUGCGGCUCAACCGGAAAAUUGCAAUUUAUACUGGCAGUCUUGCUUACAGUUGAGGUAGGCUGAAUUCGUGGUGUAUCGGUGAAAUGCUUCGAUCUCACGUAGCACUCCGAUUGCGACGGCAGCUUCCUAAACUGCCCCUGACAUUGAUGCUCGAAAGUUUGGGUAUCAAACAGGAUUAGCUACCCGUGUAGUC
rnacentral:rRNA from 1 species